UACGUAGGGUGCAAGCGUUGUCCGGAAUUAUUGGGCGUAAAGGGUGCGUAGGCGGGUCUUUAAGUCAGGGGUGAAAUCCUGGAGCUCAACUCCAGAACUGCCCUUGAUACUGAGGAUCUUGAGUUCGGGAGAGGUGAGUGGAACUGCGAGUGUAGAGGUGAAAUUCGUAGAUAUUCGCAAGAACACCAGUGGCGAAGGCGGCUCACUGGCCCGAUACUGACGCUGAGGCACGAAAGCGUGGGGAGCAAACAGG
rnacentral:rRNA from 1 species